GUUCUACUCGCUUUGGCAGUACAUAUACUAACAUCGGAACAAUACAGAGAAGAUUAGUAUGGCCCCUGUGCAAGGAUGGCGCAUAAAAUCGUGAAGCAUUCCACAAUACG